AGUGCAGUAGGGGAGUCUUGGAAUUCCUGGNGUAGCGGUGAAAUGCGCAGAUAUCAGGAGGAACACCCGGUGGCGAAGGCGGGACUCUGGGCUGUAACUGACACUGAGGAGCGAAAGCAUGGGGAGCGAACAGGAUUAGAUACCCUGGUAGUCCAUGCCGUAAACGUUGGGCACUAGGUGUGGGGGGCAUUCCACGUUCUCCGCGCCGUAGCUAACGCAUUAAGUGCCCCGCCUGGGGAGUACGGUCGCAAGGCUAAAACUCAAAGGAAUUGACGGGGCCCGCACAAGCGGCGGAGCAUGCGGAUUAAUUCGAUGCAACGCGAAGAACCUUACCAAGGCUUGACAUACACUGGACCGUUCUGGAAACAGUUCUUCUCUUUGGAGCUGGUGUACAGGUGGUGCAUGGUUGUCGUCAGCUCGUGUCGUGAGAUGUUGGGUUAAGUCCCGCAACGAGCGCAACCCUCGUUCUAUGUUGCCAGCACGUGAUGGUGGGAACUCAUAGGAGACUGCCGGGGUCAACUCGGAGGAAGGUGGGGAUGACGUCAAAUCAUCAUGCCCUUUAUGUCUUGGGCUUCACGCAUGCUACAAUGGCUGGUACAGAGAGAGGCGAACCCGUGAGGGUGAGCGAAUCCCUUAAAGCCAGUCUCAGUUCGGAUCGUAGUCUGCAAUUCGACUACGUGAAGUCGGAGUCGCUAGUAAUCGCAGAU
rnacentral:rRNA from 1 species